UACAGAGGGUGCAAGCGUUAAUCGGAUUUACUGGGCGUAAAGCGUGUGUAGGUGGCCGCGUAAGUCGGUUGUGAAAUCCCUGGGCUUAACCUGGGAACUGCGUCUGAUACUGGAUGGCUUGAAUUCGGGAGAGGGAUGCAGAAUUCCAGGUGUAGCGGUGAAAUGCGUAGAUAUCUGGAGGAACACCAAUGGCGAAGGCAGCUCACUGGGACGGUAUUGACGCUGAGACGCGAAAGCGUGGGGAGCAAACAGG
rnacentral:rRNA from 1 species